rnacentral:lncRNA from 1 species
GGCUAUUUGUCAGGUAAUGUGUGAUUUUUCCCAUGUAUGUGGCGCCCCACGUUGACUCACUUUUUCCUAUCCUGAAUCAUUUCUGUUUUCCUAAUCCAGACAGGCAUCAUGGCCUCAAAUCAUGCCCCCGUGAAGAUAGCCGCUUUAGUUAGUGGCCCUAUACGAGCAAAACACUGAAUUGUCAAGUUCCACGUGCCUUUGAAUGGUCCCAACCUCCUAUAAAAUUCGUGAACCUUAGUAAACUUGAUAAAGAAUCGCUUAUCACUCAUUUGACUGUUUUUAAUUCUGCUAUUUUUAGGUGUAAACUUCAGGGUUCAUUUGCUAUAUGUACCAAAUAAUAUAAAUUCAUUUGGUUUUCCUCAUUCAAUCAUGUUAUUUUUUUAUAUAAGAUUAGAUCAAUCAUGUUGGCUUGAUCUUAGUAAUGUUAUCUACAUGACAU